ensembl:lncRNA
GAAAUAUUAGUUUUAGUACAGAGACAGUCUUGGAAAUUUGUGGCACCAUGAAGACAGUACGCACCUGCUAAAAUCGCUUUCCUAUUGAACAUACGUCUUCUGUAAGAAAUAUUACAGUUUGAUUACAUUUUAGGGUAAAUGGAAACAUAUUUUGACUUGUUGAAAGAAAGUUUAGGGGUAGAUUUUCGGAUUCCUUUCUCUACAAGUUGUACAAGUGGAUAACUCAAAUCGAUGGCGCUAACUGAACGGUAGCGGGACGCCUAUCCCUAAGAAGUUUUAAGACAUGAAGCUUAGUAAAUGCGGAAAAUGUCAAGAACUUUGAAAGUUUCUUCAAGUGCAAUCGUAAAAACCAUCAAGCGCUGUGAUGAAAAUGGCUCUCAUGAGGACUGCCACAGUAAAGGAAGACCCAGAGUUAGCCUCAGAAAUUGCAACCCAAAUGCUUUACAGAGUUCAGACGAGAGGGAAUAUAUCUGUGGGUACUGUUCAUCGUGUGAUCCACACAGCAGAGAAGCCAAUCCAGUGAGUGUCCCUGACUCCCCUGAGCCAAAACAUCAGUUUAGCCCCAAAAUACCUUAAUACUCACAAUACAACGGCAAUGAUCUUGUAAUUCUAUUUCGAUGUCCGUGUUUCACUUGCAUUGCAUUUUUCUGGAUAUUGUAGCAAAAAAAGUUAAACAAUCGUGGUUUCAGCAAUAUUGUCAGUACUACAGUGUUUUAAGUACAAAUCGGUGCAUUAAAAAUGGAGCCCAAUACAUUUUUUAGAUUGAGAUUUACCUCAGAUUUUGCCAGUCCCAAACUUAACCAUGUCUUUGUCUCCCCCCUGUGGCAUGUGUGAGAUCUGCGGCUUCACCUGCCCCCAGAAGGCCUCUCUCAACUGACACAUGAAGAAGCACGACUCCGACGCCACCUCUCCUGCUCCAUCUGCGAUAAUAAAUUUGAGAAGGACAGCGUGAUGGCCCACAAGAGCUGAGGCUGAACCAUCUGAACUUAAUGAUCAGCUUGGGCUCACCGACCCAAAGGAGUCAAGACAGAGCUGGCUCCGGACAUAGCUAAGGUUGCCGCCUCCCUGGGCACAUGUUCAUUCAACACCUAGGCGCAUAUGCUGAUUUCUCAUAUAAAUGCACCCAUUCAUUCAGGUUCCAGACCAGUUAACUAGGCCCAAGACGUCAUAACGUAAGACCCCUAGACAUAACAAGUCCGGUCACAGGCCAGUUAGCUAGGCCUAAGACCCCUAGACAUAAUGAGUGCAACAAAAUCAGUAGGCUUGUUAUGGGUUUUGUAACAUAGGAGCAUGUCUGGCAUAAAUGUUAACACAUGUUAGCAUUAGUGGUUGUAGUCCAGAUGGUUGUGAACCGGUGUGGUUCAGUAGUGUGGUUGUGCAUUUGUUGAGAAGUUUUGUCGCAGGUCUUUGUGUCGAGCUAGCAUGCAAGGUGAGGUUAGCGGCAGGCUAAUGUUAAUCUGAUUUAAUCAGGCUGUAAUACGUCAUUAAUUGGUAUAUAAAAAAAAAUGAAACUGUCUGCAAAAUCUUGUAAAUGUUCCUUACAAGCCAGAACGCUAAACAAUUACAUUAAAUGUGUAGUUAGUGGUUAGUGUUGGACUAGUAACCAAAAGGUUCCAAGAUCAAAUCCCUGAGCUGACAAAGGAAAACACCUGUUGUUCUGCCCCUGAACAAGGCAGUUAACCCACUGUUCCUAGGCCUAGAAUUUGUUCUUAACUGACUUGCCAAGUAAAAUAAAGUAUACCGGUUGUCUGUGCGGUUUGUUCUUCAGCUGCUUGAAAUUUGAGACAAAAUAUCCACAGGAAUGUACUGUUUACCUGACUUUUUAGAGGGUAAGUGGCUGGUUCGGCACCGAAGUAAAAUUAGUUUUGUAUUGGAUAUUCGGUUUUCUUUUGUCAAUAACUAGGGGGGAAAAAAACAUCCUCAAGCCUAAUUUGUGUAGAUUUGUAAAAAAAUAUAUUAAAAAAUGAUACAGUUCGGAUUUCCAUAGAAAUAAAAAUAAAGAGGUGUGGAUAAUUCUUUGGUUAAAUCCCAUUAUCUGGUGUACGAUAAGCAGGCGAAC